AUUGAACGCUGGCGGCAGGCCUAACACAUGCAAGUCGAACGAGUGGCGGACGGGUGAGUUAUGUCUGGGAAACUGCUUGAUGGAGGGGGAUAACUCCUGGAAACGGUAGCUAAUACCGCAUACCAUCGGAUGUCCCAAGAUGGGAUUGGCUAGUGGGUGGGGGAACGGCUCACCUAGGCGACGCUCCCUAGCUGGUCUGAGAGGAUGACCAGCCACACUGGAACUGAGACACGGUCCAGACUCCUACGGGAGGCAGCAGUGGGGAAUAUUGCACAAUGGGCGCAAGCCUGAUGCAGCCAUGCAGCGUGUAUGAAGAAGGCCUUCGGGUUGUAAAGUACUUUCAGCGGGGAGGCGUUACCCGCAGAAGAAGCACCGGCUAACUCCGUGCCAGCCGCCGCGGUAAUUC
rnacentral:rRNA from 1 species